UACGUAGGGACCAAGCGUUGUUCGGAUUUACUGGGCGUAAAGGGCGCGUAGGCGGCGUGGUAAGUCACUUGUGAAAUCUCUGAGCUUAACUCAGAACGGCCAAGUGAUACUGCUGUGCUAGAGUGCAGAAGGGGCAAUCGGAAUUCCUGGUGGAGCGGUGAAAUGCGCAGAUAUCAGGAGGAACACCCGUAGCGAAGGCGGCACUCUGGGCCGAUACUGACGCUGAUGCGCGAAAGCGUGGGGAGCAAACGGG
rnacentral:rRNA from 1 species